AGCAACAGGUCUCUGAGCAGUUUGACUGAGGUGAAGGUGAAUUCUAGCAACCUUCUGGCUGGUGAGAGGAGGAGGAAGAAAAAGAAAGACUAUCCAAACCACACUUCCCAGAGGCCCAACAGUAAAAACACAGCCAAAACCACAGAGAAGUUGAAGACAUCAUUGCAAAGAAGAAUUAUGAGGAAACAAGCCUGACUGUGGAAAGGUAUCCCAUUUUUGCCUUCUUCGUGUGAACAGACAAACUGUGAGUGAAAUACCCCAACAACAAGAGUGAGGAUACCUGGAAAUCUCUUCUUUUAUGACCAUGUGCAGAAAUCUAGACGUGGAUUCUGCUGGCAGAAUUGUUUUUGUUAUUGGGACAGAUUGAGGGGAGGAAAAACACCAUCUCUUCCAGCAGUGAUGAUGAUGGUAACAUGGAAUACAACUGAAAAUUCAUUGAACUUUGGUUUUGCUUGAGUUGCAAGACUGUUGAGAAGGAGAGAAUAAAAGUCCACUUUCUGAGCCUCACUAAGAACACGUGGCAGAAACUAGGAGAUAAGGAGUUGCAAGAUCUCAAACCACUGGUGGUGAUGAAGCCAUGAAUGUGUUUUCAAAAGUGACUAGGAAGAAGAAAGAGUGAGAGAUUAGUUUGGCAGUCCCAGAUACAGCCUUCCUUAGAAGGGGCUAUGGACCUUCUCUCCAAAACUCAUCUGAAGUGCUGCAGGUACAACAAGUGAAAAUACGUGUGCCUUGAAAAUCAUGGUACAAAGAUUGCCCGUCAAAGCAGGGAACAAGCACUCCUUGGGCAGCUGGCUGAUAUGGUAACAGAUUGACAAAUAGACACUUCUGCUCUUAAUGAAAGAAUCAUGGGUUCACCACCACAGAAGCUACUGGGUUGGCAUCUUCCAGUUCAGUAUAGAUGGCACGUAAGUCUGAACUGGAAGGUUUGUUCUGGUUUGACAUACCUGUCAUGGAACUGUUACUCUAAAUGUGCAUCAAGAUUAACAAGGAGCUGGAAAACUCUCUUGGAGUUUCCUGUUGCUGUCACCUUAGUCACAUACUUGUUUGUGUUGGAGAGCUGAAAGGAAACAAAGGCAAUGCUUUGAUGUCCUGGGUAAGUCAUGGGGCAAAAUCUGGAGCUGUGAAGUUUGGACUUGGCUGUGCCACAGUCACCUCCAUGGCUGUGGGCAAGUAUUCUCCAGUCUCUGUGAUUUGGAUUCUCCCUCUAAUUACCAAGCUUGUCUUUGCAAGGCCCACUGACACCCCUUCUUUGGAUUAAGUUAUUCUCAGUGCUUUGCAGGUUCAUGGGCAUGGCUGCUCUGUCCUUUACACUGGCUCUCAAGGAUGAGUUAAGAUGAAACUCAAGGAUGAGUUAAGAUGAAGGGGAAACAGCAGGCAGGAUGAGAUUUCAGGGUACCACUGAAGAGCUUUGUUCAACUCCACCCAAGAGCCUGUGUCUAAGAGCAAAGCAGCACUGGCAGAGAAAGCUCCUGAAAGCUGUUGCUGACUGUAGAUUCCCAGGAAAAAUGAACCAGUUGCACUUCAGUGCACUUGAAGAGGCAAGAGGCAAGGCAGAAUGAACGCACCUUGCCAGUGGACAAGAGAGACCAUGAAAAAAACCACAGUGGAAUUAGGCAUUAGCCAUGCUCCAUAGGGUACAACUGCCCUAGAAGUGGGUAUCACUGAUCCUGUGUACCUUUUAUGUGACCUUCAGAUUAGCAUAGAACUUACUCCCCAUUGCUGCAAUCACCACCUUUGAAGAAACCCCCCAUUUUUCCUCCUUCUCCUCUGCACUGUGAAGAGGAGCUCACAGCUCCAGAGUGGCCAGACAUCUGCAUGUGGUUAUGUAUUUAUUUCCCUUAUGUUUGCCCUACCUUUGGAAGAAGGAAUGCUCCUGUUUUACUGGUCACGGGUAGCUGGUCUACAAGGUGGGGACUUGUUAGCAGGAGCUAGUUAGCACUGCAAUAGGAUGCACAGCCACAGAGUCUUAGUUAAAAAGUAACUGCUUAUUGCUGAAGAGAUGGUAAAUUACAGAAGUUGCUUGACUCCAGUGAUACUACAGCAGCCCUGCAGUAGACAAUGAAAGUGGUGGGGUAAAUGGCUUCUGCCACCUUCCCUGUGCUCUGAAAAAGUUGAAACCACUGGAAGCCAGUGCAGCUUCACUGUGGUCUGUAAGAAUGCCCAAGAAAUCAUGUCACUACCAUGCACCUGGAAAUACUGCAGCAUAGACAGAGAAGUGGAAGAAUUUGAAAGCAAAUCAGAAAGACUGGAAUCCAAGGGCUGCUGACAGUGACUGCUGAGAACACAGGAGGGUGAAGGAAGACAAAAGUCUGCUAGAUCCUGCAUAAUUCCAGCUGCUGAAAGAAAUACAUACAGAGGGCUGAAAUCAGAGGCGGUGUAAGAGGUAAAUCAGGGCAAGUACCAAUACCAUAACUAGGCUGAAUUAAACAAUCAAAACUAAAGAUGGAAUCACAUAUAAUGAAAAGGGAACUACAGCAAAUGAUUGCAAAAAAUGUUUACCUCAGGCUGAACUCCACCAACCUCAUAUAUACAGGGUGGUUACAUUAUGACUUCUGUCACUGCCAUGACUGGUCUUGCACCAUGGCAAGGGUUGAAAAAACAAGAAGGAUGAGUGGUAGUUUUCAAAUGUAUAUUUUUGUGUUUUAAAAAAAAAAUUAUAAUGAUCUUUAUAGAAGUCUAAAUUUUAAAAAUAAUUGAAAAUAAUUAUAUGGAGGUUAUAUGUGUAUAUUUAUGAGUAAUAUGACUGUAGUUAAUAAUAAUGACUACAGUACUACACUUAGCUAUUAUUCCCUUGGCUUCCUUCCUUAAACUAAAGCCAACUUGGUGGUUUGUACCAUUGUGGCAGCCAACAGGAAAGAGCAGUGAACAUCCCAUCACAGUAUUGGCACUUACUGCCUUUGCUGAAACCCUGCAUCAUUGCACUGUACUGGUUGUAUUGUCCAGAGGGCCAAGUUUCCCUUCUGUGCUCUCCAAACACUCCCGGGUCAUGCUGGCAAGGAACAGUGACUUCCAGGGAAAUCAGAAUGUUGUGCUAGUGAUGAAUUUGGUCCCUUGUAAAAAGAUACCCUUCUUUUCCCCCUCUCUCUCCAGCAGGAAAUUCUUCUUUCCAAUCCAAUGAUUCAUACAAAUCUCAUCAUCUUUUUUUGUGAAGCUCUCAGUCUCACAAUGAAGAACAAAAGCUAAAUCCUACAAAACAACAUAAGGGAGAUGCCAGUUAUGAUUAGGCUAAAUUUAACACACUCUCCCAUGUAUGUUAAUGUUCUAUGUGCAUCAUGCAUGCAGCUAAAGGAGUAGAUAGAAAAAUAGCCUGGGAUAUGGAAGAGUGGAUAAAAAAAUAGGCUGGGAUAUGAAAGAAAAUGAAGUUCAUAGCAAAGACUGUUUCCUCAAACAGAAAGACUGGGAAUUGCUUCUUUCUUUUACUCCAGAAGAGUUGCCCUCCCCAACUCUAUCUGACAGCUUUCUGUUAACUCCCACUCUUUUAGUUAUCAGCUUGCUUUUGUUACCCUGUUCAUAGGCAAAGAAAGCAAGCAGACAAGACUGGAAAGCUGUUGGAUGAGUAUCUGGCAGUGUUUCAUGAGAAGCAUAUCCUAGAGAGCAGCAGCAAUCUAAAUAAGGUUCAGCUUCUCUUUGUGCUUGUUUCAAGGACAGUUUGGCAGUUCCAUACUUCCCAUGUAUGCUUUGCAGUUUAUGCAUAAACGUAAACUUCCUCCCCUCAGUGUCAUCCCGCAAAGAAACAAAUAAUAAUGGAAAAAAGUUUGAGGGAAAUACUUGUAAAUUAUAAAAAUCAUAUGCAUCCAUAGUGAUGUGUUUUUUUUGAAGCAGCCUUUUUACUCUCACGUGUGAUAAAGGCAAAAUGCUUUUUUUCAUAACAAGUAACUAUACAGAUAGUUACGCUGGAAUGGGGAGGGACAAACAAACCUAACGAUGACAGAUCUGUACAGAAAGCUGUUAGUAUGCCAGAUCUUAUUACAGAGCAGUGGGAGGCCUUGUACACUACGUAUCAGCUCUAUAGGGACCUCCAUAUUUAAAAUGAUAAAAAAAAUGUGAUUUGAAAAACCCCUCAUGGGCAGCCUUCAAAGGCACAGACAGGUUCUGACUGGAUUAACAUUUAUUGACUGUUUAAGCCUGCUUUUUUGCUUCAGGACAGAGAUACACGAGUUUAAUUGCAGAGGUUGUUCUGCCAACUGAUCACUAGAGUGGCAACCAAAGCUUUACUAAUCGGUCUUUCAUUAAAGAAAAGUCUCUAUUACAAAACAAAUUAAGCAUGCUCUGAUCCCAACCCGCAGGUCCAAUGGCAUUACAGCAAAGUUUAGGCUGCUAGAGCACUGAAAAACUUAUUAAGGUUUAGCGCUGAGAUAGCACUUUUGUAUUGAUUUUACAAUACACAGGUAUUAUGAUUUAUGGAGUGCUAGUGUCACUCUAACAAGCUGAAGGACACACAAUAUCAUCUCCAACAUCAUUAAAAUUCAGAAGCCUCUAGAACUAACUCAUCAACCACUGUGCAUUGUCACAGGCUAUAGAGCUCUACUCCAGUUGGAAAAUGCCGUGAGUUUCCCGGACAGUUGUCUUCCGGAAUAAUUAAAUUUAGGAAAAAAAAGGGGGUGAGGAGAAGAGACAAAAUUCAAACUCCGCGUAUGUUUUAAAACCCUUCUGUGGAUGUGUAGUUCUAUAGUAGCAGGCACUGUUCUUCACCAUCGCCUGCUCGAACCGGGCUGCUCCGGCUCCUGCUGCCCGCUCCAAGGCGCCGCAGAGCCCCAGGGCUCCUUGGGUGGUGCAAACCCAACGGGAACCGCCGGCCGCUGAUGUGCCUCGGUCUGUAUCCCGAAUGCUUUAUUUUCCUGAAGU